rnacentral:piRNA from 1 species
UAAGCAAGAGGAACAGAGGUCCAGC